AUGAAGCUUGGGAGUGUUAAAGGCCAGAAACGUUUAAAAAAGAUCAGUGUCAUUGGCUGCACAAGUCUCGAGGAAUUUGCCGUCUCCUCGGAUUUCAUUGAAAACUCGGAUUUAAGCAUUAUAAAUGCGUCGAUUCACAUAAUCUCUGUCUUUCAUCUUAUGUUCAAAAGUAUGUUGAGGAGCCCUCUAGAAUAUCGCCUGAACUAA